rnacentral:rRNA from 1 species
UACGUAGGGGGCAAGCGUUGUCCGGAUUCAUUGGGCGUAAAGAGCGUGUAGGCGGCCAGGUAGGUCGGUUGUGAAAACUGGAGGCUCAACCUUCAGAGGUCGACCGAAACCAUCUGGCUAGAGUCCGGGAGAGGAGAGUGGAAUUCCUGGUGUAGCGGUGAAAUGCGCAGAUAUCAGGAGGAACACCUGUGGCGAAAGCGGCUCACUGGACCACAACUGACGCUGAGGCGCGAAAGCUAGGGGAGCAAACAGG